UACGAAGGGUGCAAGCGUUACUCGGAAUUACUGGGCGUAAAGCGUGCGUAGGUGGUUCGUUAAGUCUGAUGUGAAAGCCCUGGGCUCAACCUGGGAAUGGCAUUGGAUACUGGCGACCUAGAGUGCGGUAGAGGGGUGUGGAAUUCCCGGUGUAGCAGUGAAAUGCGUAGAUAUCGGGAGGAACAUCUGUGGCGAAGGCGACACCCUGGACCAGCACUGACACUGAGGCACGAAAGCGUGGGGAGCAAAC
rnacentral:rRNA from 1 species